rnacentral:tRNA from 1 species
GACCGCGUAGCUCAGUUGGCAGAGCAUUGGGCUAUAAGUAUUUCAAAGGUCGUAGGUUCGAUUCCCACUGUGGUCA